rnacentral:misc_RNA from 1 species
ACCUUGACGUUAGAAGAUAAUAUAAAUUUUUGAGUAGCAUUUUUUUUUUUUUUUUGUUAUUUAGAAAUUUAUGUUGUCUUUUAACGUCAGGAUGUCUAUUAAGAGUGUAUGGUGUUGGA